rnacentral:rRNA from 1 species
GAUGAACGCUGGCGGCGUGCCUAAUACAUGCAAGUCGAGCGAACGGACGAGAAGCUUGCUUUUCUGAUGUUAGCGGCGGACGGGUGAGUAACACGUGGAUAACCUACCUAUAAGACUGGGAUAACUUCGGGAAACCGGAGCUAAUACCGGAUAAUAUUUUGAACCGCAUGGUUCAAAAGUGAAAGACGGUCUUGCUGUCACUUAUAGAUGGAUCCGCGCUGCAUUAGCUAGUUGGUAAGGUAACGGCUUACCAAGGCAACGAUGCAUAGCCGACCUGAGAGGGUGAUCGGCCACACUGGAACUGAGACACUGUCCAGACUCCUACGGGAGGCAGCAGUAGGGAAUCUUCCGCAAUGGGCGAAAGCCUGACGGAGCAACGCCGCGUGAGUGAUGAAGGUCUUCGGAUCGUAAAACUCUGUUAUUAGGGAAGAACAUAUGUGUAAGUAACUGUGCACAUCUUGACGGUACCUAAUCAGAAAGCCACGGCUAACUACGUG